GUUUCGAUAGUUUAAAAAGAAUAUAGUUUUGAAGCGGCUAGGGUAACGUAAUAUUUUGGAGCA
rnacentral:tRNA from 1 species